rnacentral:rRNA from 1 species
GUCUGGUUAAUUCCGAUAACGAACUAGACCUUAACCUGCUAACUAGUUUAUUCUAUUUUUAUAGUUUAUAACUUCUUAGAGGGACUAUGUAACAAAAUACACGGAAGUUUGAGGCAAUAACAGGUCUGUGAUGCCCUUAUAUGUCCCGGGCUGCACGCGUGCUACACUGAUGUAUACAGCAAGUGCCUAACUAGAUAUGGUAUGGCAAUCUCGAAUAUGCAUCGUGAUGGGGAUAGAUCUUUGCAAUUAUAGAUCUUGAACGAGGAAUUCCUAGUAAGUGCAAGUCAUCAUCUUGCAUUGAUUAUGUCCCUGCCCUUUGUACACACCGCCCGUCGCUCCUACCGAUACCGGGUGAUCCGGUGAACCUUUUGGACCCUUCACGAGGAAAGAUAAGUAAACCAUAUCACCUAGAGGAAGGAGAAGUCGUAACAAGGUUUCCGUAGGUGAACCUGCRGAAGGAUCA